AUUUUGACUACAGUUAAAUGACUGUUGUCAACCAUCUUUCAUCACCAACAAUUAGGCUGAACAAAUGAUGCAAAACCAAGUAUGCCUAAGGAGCACAGACUUGAGGUUCAGAAUUCAAAGUCUUCCAAGAGGAAUAAAAAAUCUGGUGGAAAGAAAGUCAGGAGCCCUACUGUGCUUGACUAACAGAGGUUCAGCCAAGGAAAUUUUUGGUAGAACAUCAAAAAGCAGAAAUAGAUUGUUUUCUUUUUUUCUCUGGACUGCCUGCUGACUUCAGGACAACCCAUUCUUCCCUUUUUUAUACUCACAGCUCCCCAGGUGCUCUCUAUGGUAACCUUUCACUUUUUGUAUCCAGAGAGCAGGAUGUUUCCUGUGGUGUGUCAAUAACAAUUUGGUUUUCUCUGAUACCAAACUGAAAAAUUCCACUGACAAGCCCAAUACUGGCAAUUCAGCUGACAAGCUCAAUACCUGUGACUUAAAUAUGUGACAAAUGUGAGCUGACUUGAACAGUCAUUUCAAGUAACCUGUCAAGAUAUUGAAGAUCUUGGGUCAAUUUGAAAAUGAGAAAAAAAGCCAUUAAUAUCUAUUAAUGCAGAACUAGCAUUGACAAAGUAGUAUGCCUUGAAAUGUGUUACAGAGAGGCAGAUGACCGAUGUGCUUGGAAAUCGUUUGUGAUGUCUAGAGCAAGGUGAAUAUUGAAUACAUAGCUUUCUUUUUUUUUUUUUUUUUUUUUUGAAAGGUUGAAUUUUUUGUUUUGAUAUACAUUGUAUCCUUCAUUUCUAGUAGCAUUGCAUGUGAUUCACAGCCCCAGAGAAAACCAUGCUCAGUUUUGCCAGCAGUCAGGUUUGAUGUUUGUACUUGAACCUAUAUUUGAAAUUCUCCAAUUACAGAAAGGAUGGAGUCAAAGGUUGGUGUUACACAUACCCACCAGCUGAACUGCAGCCCAUUGAAAUGACAGAAACAAUAGGUGAUGCAGAGCAAAGGAAAGAGCUGAAAGCUGUGGUGCCAGGUGAGUCUGUACAGAAAAAGCCUGUUCUGGAAGAAGUGAUGGUCAUGGGUAUGUGUGAGCCAAAAGCAGAAGCUAUUUCCAGCUUUUUAUGGGGCAGGUCUCAGGCCCUCUCUGUGUCUCAGCUUCCCAGCAUCAUCAGGGCUUGCUGAGAUGUUGAUCAGUUCCUGCAGUUCUUCCCUUGCUACUGUCACACCUGCUUUUGGUCAGCUUUUCCUCAGUGAAGCACAGCACUUAAAUAAAAUUGCUAUUUCAGAGUGCUUGUUUUGAGAU
rnacentral:lncRNA from 1 species